ensembl:rRNA 5S_rRNA 5S ribosomal RNA
AACUACAAAAAGACCAGGUAGAUUUGAAAAAGAUGUCCCAAUCCCAUCUGAUCUUGGAAGCUAAGCAGGGUCGGGCCUGGUUAGCACUUGGAUGGGAAACCACCUAGGAAGACCAAGUGCUAUAGGCA